rfam:Helianthus annuus linkage group 17, whole genome shotgun sequence.
GAUAACAGGCUGAUCUUCCCCAAGAGCUCACAUCGACGGGAAGGUUUGGCACCUCGAUGUCGGCUCUUCGCCACCUGGGGCUGUAGUAUGUUCCAAGGGUUAGGUUGUUCGCCCAUUAAAGCGGUACGUGAGCUGGGUUCAAAACAUCGUGAGACAGUUC